UACGAAGGACCCGAGCGUUAUCCGGAUUUACUGGGUUAAAGGGUGCGUAGGUGGACCUGUAAGUCAGUGGUGAAAGCCCGAAGCUCAACUUCGGAACUGCCAUUGAUACUGCUUGUCUUGAGUAUAGUUGAGGUAGGCGGAAUAUGUCAUGUAGUGGUGAAAUACUUAGAUAUGAACAUAGAACACCGGAUUGCGAAGGCAGCUUGCUAAGCUAAUAACU
rnacentral:rRNA from 1 species